rnacentral:lncRNA from 1 species
GAAACUUCACCGAUCGUGACAUAUAAGGUGUGAUUUUGCCCAAAAUCACACCAGAGAACCCAUAAGUAAUAGAAAUAGAAAUCCCAAUUCCAAAUCGACAUGGCCCACGAUCUUUAAAGGCCUUAGAGGUGAUGAGCAGGGCAAUGAGAGACUUAUUGGAGGCUUGGGUUGAAAAGGAUAGUCGCCAAAGAUGACUGGAGAAUUAGGUGAGCAGAGGAGUCUAGGUUUAGGUUUGAGAGAAGAGUGGAGAUUAGAGAGUAUCU